AACGAACGCUGGCGGCAUGCCUAACACAUGCAAGUCGAACGAGACCUUCGGGUCUAGUGGCGCACGGGUGCGUCACGCGUGGGAACCUGCCCUUAUGUUCGGAAUUACUCCUCGACAGGGGUGCUAAUACCGGAUAAUGUCUUCGGACCAAAGAUAUAUCGCCUUUGGGUGGGCCGGCGUGGGAUUAGCUCGGUGGUAGGGUAAAAGCCUACCAAGGCGACGAUCCAUAACUGGUCUGCGAGGAUGAGCCGCCACACUGGCACGGAGGAGCGGUCCAGACUCUUACGGGAGGGAGGAGUGGGGAAUAUUGGACAAGGGGCGAAAGGCUGAUCCACCUAUGCCGCGUGAGUGAUGAAGGCCUUAGGGUUGUAAAGCUCUUUUACCCGGGAUGAUAAUGACAGUACCGGGAGAAUAAGCUCCGGCUAACUCCGUG
rnacentral:rRNA from 1 species